AGUUUGUUUUGGAGAUUUCUCUAAGACAAUGUCGCAAAGUUCGAGUAGCUUAAAUGGGUCGAUUAGGAGGUGUCGUUGUGGAUUCCUGCUAAUUAUUUCGUAGUAUGGACUCCUUUAAAUGCUGAGAGAAGAUUUUUCAAGUGCCCUAAGCAUGAGGUAUGUAAAUUUGUUGAUGGGUUCUUUUAAUUUAGGAGAAGAUUUUUCAAGUGCCCUAAGUAUGAGGUAUGUAAAUUAGUUGAUGGGUUCUUUUAACUAUUUCGAUUUGACUGUAAUUUCUUUUUCUUUUUA
rnacentral:lncRNA from 1 species